ACGCUCGACACCUACGGGAGGCGCAGUAGGGAAUCUUCCACAAUGGACGCAAGUCUGAUGGAGCAACGCCGCGUGAGUGAAGAAGGUUUUCGGAUCGUAAAGCUCUGUUGUUGGUGAAGAAGGAUAGAGGUAGUAACUGGCCUUUAUUUGACGGUAAUCAACCAGAAAGUCACGGCUAACUACGUGCCGGCAGCCGCGGUAAUCUGAGCGGGCUGGCAAGGC
rnacentral:rRNA from 1 species